GAGCCAAGACCAAGAAGUAAUUAAUUAUCAGAUCCCACAAUAAUUGAGUGCCAAAAACAAAGGGGUUCGGUAGCUGGUAGGCCCUCCUCCAGGCUGAUUAGAGAUGGAUACAGAUGCCCUCUGCCUUCUGUGUAUGUUUUGCAAAUGCAGCACGAAAAAAUCGUAGCAUAAUAAGAUGAUCAGUGACUAGCUUCUGGAAAUUGCAUGGUCUUUGUCACGACGACAAACCGCCAUGUGUGCCAGUUGUUGGUUGAUCGAUAUAGCAGGCAAGUCCUUCUCAGGUUGAUUAAACCAAGAGGGUGACAAGUCAUGAUCACAAGAACAUGUGGUUCCGGCGAGAGAAUCUGUGGACCUCCCCCUUGCAGCUGGUUGAAGGAGGAGAGACCACCAUUCGUGGGUUUUUCCCUUAUCUUCAGGGUUGUGGAUGAACUAUAUGAGGAUAGCUACACUUGAUACCCUUUUGAAGCCCAUGGCCAUCAUGAUCUUGCUUUAGCGGCUAGGAAAAACCAAGGAAAUAUGAGAACAUGUAGAGUUGCGCAUUAUUGAUACCUUUUCUGUACCAUCUUUUUGCUUUUGUUGCAUCGUCCAAC
rnacentral:lncRNA from 1 species